rnacentral:misc_RNA from 1 species
UCAGCACACAGUGACUGGAAGGCAAA